rnacentral:lncRNA from 1 species
CGUCCCGGAAGAUGCCGGCACGCACGGAGGGAGUUCCGCCCCCUUCAGGCACGCGCAGGAAACCAUGUGUCCUGCCCAGGAAACCCCAUGUGUUUGCAGAGACAGAGACUCACUGUCGACCUGGAAGUGGAACUUCUUAACAGGGCAUUCUUAAUCUGAAAAGCAAGUCAUUCAGAUAUAUUUUAGUGACCACUGAAGCUGACAUUGUGUAGAAACACACACACACAGCCUUGCGUCAUGACCCGCAAGCAGAAGAAAUCUGGAAAGAAACACAAACAUAGCAAGAAAAGAGAUGCAAAAAGACGGGGAAAGAAGGAUCCAGGAGUGCCCCAGUUAUCACACUUCAAAGAACAUGUGAAAAAGAGGGAGCAUGUCAAAAAGGAAGCAGCACUAAAGCAGAAGAAGGUGAGGUGAAGAAUUCUAGGAGAUGCUUCUGGGGAAAUGGUGCUGGGCUUGGCUCUUUGAGAUACAUUCCCUAGCUACAAAUCGGGGGGGGGGUUUGGAUGCCUAAAGUGGGUUCCAGAUCCCAUCGCUCAAUUCCUGUUG